CAGUGGUUAGUUUAAUUAAAAUAUUAAUUUUGGAGAUUAAUGAUGAGUAUAUUUCUUACCUCUGA
rnacentral:tRNA from 1 species